AUGCUUCUUCUCGAGCCUUACCACUUGGUCCCUCCGCUCCUGCUCCUCGUCGCUGCAGGCCGCUGCCUCGCGGCCACCGAUGGCGGCGGUGAUGACGGUCGGCAGUUUGUCUACUCUGGCUUCACGGGCACGAACCUGACGCUCGACGGCGCAAGUUCAGUUAUGCCUAACGGCCUCCUCUUGCUGACCGAUGGCAGAAAGGUGAAAGGCCACGGCGUCCACCCGUUCCCGCUGCCGUUCCGCACCGCGUCGUCGAAUGCCACCGGCUCCGUGCGGCCUUUCUCGACCACCUUCGUCUUCGCCAUCUCCAGUCAAUAUGACGACGUGAGCAGCGACGGCAUCGCCUUCUUCCUGGCCGCGUCAAGGGAGGUGCUCUCCACUGCGUCGCCAGGCCAGUUCCUCGGCCUCCUCAACGAAGACAAUAUUGGCAACAGGAGCGCCCACAUCUUCGCCUUGGAGCUAGACACGUUCAAAGAUGACGAACUCCGUGACAUCAACGACAACCAUGUCGGCGUCGACGUUGAUAGCCUGGUGUCGAUUGACUCCGCCAACGCCGGGUUCUAUAUAUGA
rnacentral:rRNA from 1 species